rnacentral:rRNA from 1 species
GACGAACGCUGGCGGCGUGCCUAAUACAUGCAAGUCGAACGCUUCUUUCCUCCCGAGUGCUUGCCCUCAAUUGGAAAGAGGAGUGGCGGACGGGUGAGUAACACGUGGGUAACCCACCCAUCAGAGGGGGAUAACACUUGGAAACAGGUGCUAAUACCGCAUAACAGUUUAUGCCGCAUGGCAUAAGAGUGAAAGGCGCUUUCGGGUGUCGCUGAUGGAUGGACCCGCGGUGCAUUAGCUAGUUGGUGAGGUAACGGCUCACCAAGGCCACGAUGCAUAGCUGACCUGAGAGGGUGAUCGGCCACACUGGGACUGAGGCACGGCCCAGACUCCUACGGGAGGCAGCAGUAGGGAAUCUUCGGCAAUGGACGAAAGUCUGACCGAGCAACGCCGCGUGAGUGAAGAAGGUGUUCGGAUCGUAAAACUCUGUUGUUAGAGAAGAACAAGGACGUUAGUAACUGAACGUCCCCUGACGGUAUCUAACCAGAAAGCCACGGCUAACUACGUG